AGUGAACGCUGGCGGUAGGCCUAACACAUGCAAGUCGAACGGCAGCACAGGAGAGCUUGCUCUCUGGGUGGCGAGUGGCGGACGGGUGAGGAAUACAUCGGAAUCUACUCUGUCGUGGGGGAUAACGUAGGGAAACUUACGCUAAUACCGCAUACGACCUACGGGUGAAAGCAGGGAAUCUUCGGACCUUGCGCGAUUGAAUGAGCCGAUGUCGGAUUAGCUAGUUGGCGGGGUAAAGGCCCACCAAGGCGACGAUCCGUAGCUGGUCUGAGAGGAUGACCAGCCACACUGGAACUGAGACACGGUCCAGACUCCUACGGGAGGCAGCAGUGGGGAAUAUUGGACAAUGGGCGCAAGCCUGAUCCAGCCAUACCGCGUGGGUGAAGAAGGCCUUCGGGUUGUAAAGCCCUUUUGUUGGGAAAGAAAUCCAGCUGGCUAAUACCCGGUUGGGAUGACGGUACCCAAAGAAUAAGCACCGGCUAACUUCGUGCCAGCAGCCGCAGUAA
rnacentral:rRNA from 1 species